rnacentral:tmRNA from 1 species
GGGGGUGAAUUAGGUUCGACAUAGGUAGGAAUGGCAUCAGAAGCGAGCCGAGGUCCCCAACCACCUCGUUAAACCUUGGGACUUAACAAUAAGUGCAAACGAUAAUUAUUCCUUAGCUGCUGCAUAGCAGGCUAACGCCUCGUUAUUCUUUGCCUGUGAGAAUAGUGCAGGUGUCAACCCAGCAGGCUACCUAAUCGGCAUCACCCGGGGUUGAUUAGGGAAAUUAACGGGUUAGUCGUUUACUCAUCUGGCUGCAGAGAGGGGUAAAUGAUGAAAAUUAAAACUGCAGCUGCGCUCGGAGAAGCUGGUGUGGUUUCACCUAUGGACAGCGGUGCAACUCCGCUCACCUCCACCA